rnacentral:rRNA from 1 species
GUGGCUGACGGGUGAGUAACACGUGAUACUACCCUCGAGUGCGGAAUAACAUCGGGAAACCGAUGGUAGUGACCACAUAACAUCGCAGGAUCAAAGGAGCAAUCCGCUUGACGGGAGGGGGUCGCGGCUGAUUAGCUAGUUGGCGGGGUAACGGCCCACCAAGGCGAAACGAUCGGUAGCCGGCCUGAGAGGGCGCACGGCCACCACUUGUAACUGAACACACUGGUCCAGACUCCCUACGGGCAGGCAGCAGUGGGGAAUCUUGCACAAUGGACGAAAGUCUGAUGCAGCAACGCCGCGUGGGGGAAUGAAGCUUUUCGGAGUGUAAACCCCUUUCGACCCCGGAAGAAAGGCCCG